UUUUUUAAAUAACUCUUACAAAUACCAACUUUAAAUUUUAUGAUGUGACAUAAAUGAAGUUUCCCUUAAAUGGCUUAUUGUGCUGUUCCCUGAGCACAAUGAAUAUAGUGUUGUACCAACGAAUUGGGUCACAAAAAAUGAAUUAACUCAAGUAAAUUAUUGCUACUGGCCUCCAGGCACUGUUAACAGUGAUGUUAUACAAAAAGCAGAUGAGCCGGGGUUAACCUGGAAAAUGUAUAGAGUAAAAAUUUAUGGUGGAAAUAAAACUUUUGAUAAUUUUAAUAAAGCAUGGCAUCAACAAGUUAUUAUUAAAGAUUCAUCUAAUGAAACAGGUAAUGAAGAAAAUAUGACUCUAAGACAUAAACAAAAAGGAAAGCUUAUCUCACAAAAUGUAUUGUUUAACGUAACUGAUGAAAGU